AGAUUGGUAGUUUCUGGAUCUUAGGCCCACCUAGGAAUGAGCCUGGUGGUAGAUUGUUUGAAGAGAUGGAUCCUCUCUUGCAAAGGAAGCUCUGGAAAAGUGCAUUCUCUUACUGUACUGUCUCUCUAAAUUUAGCUAAUUAGAUCACAGGUUCCUUCCCAGAGUCCAGGCAAGUGUUCACUUCUUCCAAAAAACGAAAAAAGGAAUCCUUUUCCCUCUCCUCCCACAAUGUGAUACUACAUUUCAUUCUGUAGCCUUAUUUAAACAGUUACCAAAACAGCUCACAAAAUCAUUUGAGAAUAAACUGGGAUACAUAGCAAUGGGCCCAGGAGUCCCCUUCCUUUUGGUGCUGCCAGUGACAACCUUUAGCUAUAAAAGGAGGGUCAUAAAGGAGACUUGACCAUUCACUUGACCACCCCUCAUUCAUAUGCUUUCCCCAACACACCAAACUAGUGCCUAUUUGACCCCCAUUUCAUUUGAUUAUUAAUUUUUUCACAUCUUAAAUGCUGAUUCAAUUUACUGUCAAUAGAGGAGUAAAACAGAGUCACAGAGAAGGAGUUAUUCUAAACCUUUAUUGAAAGGCAAAUGCAGAAAGCCUUCAACACAGAGGAUAGAUUUAGUGACUGAGGGCCCACUGGAGUUUAACUAAUAGAUCUGCUGACUACGCCGUACAGUGGAGGAAACACGCUGCAAUCUCAAGACAAUGCAGGUAACUCAAUCUGAAAUCCAUCAAAAAGAGGACAACUUGCUCAGGUACAAGGCCCCUGAAAAGUAACUCAUCAAAUGACAAUAGGAACUGUGUGGACACUCCCUCUGUAACAUGCACUAGGAUAUCACUCUCCUAUAUUAGAGGAGCUCCAAGCAGUGUAUCAUGCUCAAAUAUUUAUUAAUUGACAGUGUCCGACAACCUCCUGUCCAUAAAGCAUGGCAGAGUGGGUAAUUAAUUGGAAAGAGUUGGCAGUAGAACUUUAAGAACAAUUAUACCUUCUACAUCUUACCACUCCCCAUUCCUAGUGACAACUUUCUCAUCUCGGCGAAUUCUCUUGUGUACUGUUUCUGGAACAUAUAUUACUAAAUUCCUGUCUCCUUUACAAAAUGCUGUAUCUUGGGCAAAAGACAUAUGUAUUGUGCUUGUAUUGUGUAUCUAAUGUGUACAUAUAUGCAUAUUCUCACAAAUAUGGUAUACAUUUAUAUUAUGCAUGUGUAUGGACAUAUAUCUGCAUAUUGUAAAAUGAAAUAGAAUUUUUUUUUUCUUGAGAUGGAGUCACACUCUGUUGCCUAGGCUGGAGUGCAAUGGUGCAAGCUUGGCUCACUGCAACCUCCGGCUCUUGGGCUCAAGCGAUUCUCCUGCCUCAGCCUGCCACUCGGCAGGGUGGGAUUACAGGUGCUCACCACCAAGCCCGGCUAAUUUUUGUAUUUUUAGUAGAGAUGGGGUUUCACCAUGGUGGCCAGGCUGGUCUCAAACUCCUGACCUUAAGUGAUCUGCCCACUUUGGCCUCCUACAGUGAUGGGAUUACAGGCUUGAGCCACCAUGCCCGGCCUGAAGUAGAAUUUUUUUAAAUGAACGGUCGGAGAUCGAGCUAAAGGCUAUAAAAUGGCAGGGUUCUAAUCAGCUCAGAUUGUUUUCAGUAGAAAUGUACGCAAAGUCUUUGGAGUUAAAUGAUGAACUGCCACUUAUUUAUUUAUUUAUUUGUUUAUUUUUUGAUAUGUCUCACUCUUUUGCCCAGGCUGGAGUGAAGUGGAGUGAUCUUUGCUUACUGUAACCUCUGCCUCCCUGGCUCCAGCGAUCCUCCUGCCUCAGCCUCCUGAGUAGCUGGAAUUAUAGGCACCCACCACCACAUCUUGCUAAUUUUGGUAUUUUUAAUAGAGACAAGGUUUCACCAUGUUGGCCACGCUGGUCUCGAACUCCUGAACUCAGGUGAUCCACCUGCCUUGGCCUCCCAAAGUGCUAGGAUUACAGGCUUGAGCCACCACACCCAGCCUAAACUGCCAGUUUACAUCAGUUAUAAUUUUUUUUUGUUUUUUUGAGACAGGGUCUCACUUUGUUGCCCAGACUGGAGGGCAGUGGCACAACCAUGGCUCACUGCAGCUUCAAGUAAUCUUCCCACCUCAGCCUCCCAGGUAGCUAGGACUACAGGUGCAUGCCACCACGCCCAGCUAAUUUUUCGUAUUUUUUGUAGAGAUGGGGUUUUGUCAUGUUGCCCAGGCUAGUCUCGAACUUCUGAGCUCAAGUGAUCUACCUGCCUCGGCUUUUCAAAGUGCUGGGAUUACAGGUAUGAGCCACCAUGCCCAGCCUCAGUUACAACUUUUUUUUUUUUUUUGAGAUGGAGUUUCCCUCUUGUUGCCCAGGCUGGAGUACAAUGUUGCAAUCUCAGCUCACUGCAACCUCCGCCUUCCAGGUUCAAGCAAUUCUCCUGUCUCAGUCUCCCAAGCAGCUGGGAUUACAGGCAUGUGCCACCACGCCCGGCUAAUUUUUUGUAUUUAGUAGAGACACAGCUUGUUUCACCAUAUUGGCCCGGCUGGUCUCAAACUCCCGAUCUCAGGUGAUCCACCUGCCUCGGCCUCUCAAGGUGCUGGGAUUAUAGGCAUGAGCCACUGUGCCUGGCAGUUAUAACUCUUAAAGCAACACAAGGCUCUUGGUAGCCUGAUUACAAUGAGAAUUAAUUAAGUACACUAUUUUCCACAGUACACUCCCACGAAGUUUUUAGUGCUGCCAUAAUGUUUGUAGUAAAAAGAAUCAACAUUUUCAAUUUGUUUUUUGGGGUUUUGUUUGUUUUGUUUUGUUUAGGCAAGGUCUUGAUCUGUCACCCAGGCUGGAGUGCAGUGGUGCAAUCACAAUUCACUGCAGCUUCAAUUUCCUGGGCUCAAGUCAUCCUCCCAUCUCAGCCUCCUGAUAGCUGAGACUACAGGCGUGCAAUUUAAAAAAAAAUUAUUUUGUGGAGUCUGGACCUCACUACAUUGCCUAGAACGGUCUCAAACUCCUGGGCUCAAGAGAUCCUCCUGCUGCAGCCUCACAAAGUGUUGGGAUCACAGGCGUAAGCCACUUCACCUGGCCUUGAUUCUUUUUAAGCUCAAUAAAAAUGGAACUUUGUCUUGCUGUCAUGGCCAGAGUUAAAAUACAGUCAAACAACAAAGACCUCAUAGAGUUAAAGCUCACAAAACUGAUACUUAAAAAUAACUUAUUAAAUAAGUAUUGCAGGCACUACAACAGGUCUCAAGAUACAGUGGUGAGCAAGAAAAACAGGAUCUCUUGCUUUCAUGAAGUUCAACUAGAAAGUCCUGUCGAAUGAUGAGACAUCUUUCUUUGGGGCAGCAAGUUACUUUCACUUAGUGGUAAAAGGGCCAAGAAUAGUUCAGGAACUUCUCAUCCACUUGUCUACCCUUCUACACAGACAGCAGCACAGAUCUGGCUUUUUACAUGGCCCUAGACAACACCCAUCCAUGGAAUUCUUUCAAAUUCCCUAUAGCUUGUGCUAUCAGUUGUUAUUUAGUACCUGGCAAGAUGAUAUUAGGGGAACUCAUAUUUAAGGAGUUCAUGGAGACCUCCUUUUGUAAAUACUGGCCUGACUCCUUAAGGUUGAAAGCUUGGUCAUUAUUCUGUUUAAUCUAUCACUGAUAAAAGUUAUCACAUAACCCAUUGUCUGCAAAUGAACUAUAAAAAACACCUUAGAAAUACAAGGGGAUUGCACUGUGACCUGUAGGUCAAAGCUAAUUCUAGGUGAGAGGGUGAAGAAACAAAUAUGCUGGUUGUUUUCACCUAAAUUCUGAUCCUAUGAAUUUAAAAUUCCUUCUCAUGCAAUCAUUUUGUCAUGGAAUUGAUUACAAUGAACAAAAUCCAAAGUGCUCAGGUCACUGCCUCUUCAGUUUAGUGCUUACACUGUAGGAUACACCAUCCAAGAGGCUGUAAGGGUGGCCAA
rnacentral:lncRNA from 10 species